rnacentral:rRNA from 1 species
UGGGGAAUAUUGGACAAUGGGCGCAAGCCUGAUCCAGCAAUGCCGCGUGAGUGAUGAAGGCCUUAGGGUUGUAAAGCUCUUUCGCACGCGACGAUGAAUGACGGUAGCGUGAGAAGAAGCCCCGGGCUAACUUCGUGCCAGCAGCCGCGGUAAUACGAAGGGGGCUAGCGUUGUUCGGAAAUUACUGGGCGUAAAGGGCGCGUAGGCGGCCUGUUUAGUCAGAAGUGAAAGCCCCGGGCUCAACCUGGGAAUAGCUUUUGAUACUGGCAGGCUUGAGUUCCGGAGAGGAUGGUGGAAUUCCCAGUGUAGAGGUGAAAUUCGUAGAUAUUGGGAAGAACACCGGUGGCGAAGGCGGCCAUCUGGACGGACACUGACGCUGAGGCGCGAAAGCGUGGGGAGCAAACAGAUUAGAUACCCUGGUAGUCAACGCCGUAAAACGAUGAAUGCUAGACGUCGGGGUGCAUGCACUUCGGUGUCGCCGCUAACGCAUUAAGCAUUCCGCCUGGGGAGUACGGCCGCAAGGUUAAAACUCAAAGG